ensembl:lncRNA
AUAUAUAUAUAUAUAUAUAUAUUUUUGGAAUUAAAGGCUUUCUCGCAAGAAUUAGAAUCAAAGACCGAGACAACGCUACACGGCAAAUAUGAAGCUGGAUCAAGCACGAAUAGCUUAAAACAAUAUGAUAUGAUUAAACAGGUAGAAUAUAAAGAAAUGGAAAUACUGAUGGGAAGUACCUCUAUAUUGUACUUCAUAGCAGUUCUUCAAGGAUCAUGCAUUUUUUACAGCGCCUGUGUUGACAUGUAACAGUAGAAACAGCACAGGUGGGUUUAAAUGAUAAAUUAAAUGAUCGUUGAUUGCAAUUUAGCUGCUUUAGUUUAAUUUUUUCAAUUUCGUUUUACUUGGAAAAUAAUGCUUGCAGCUGUGCUAUAAACAGCUGCAAUCAACUUAAAGCAAAACAUUACAUACCAAGACAAGGACGACAACACAACGCAAAGUCAAAGAGCAAAACCUACAAACACCUUGUCAUUAUGAAAAAUGAGGAAAGAAAUCAAGAAACCAUCAAACCCAUCCUCCAUGCUAAUGAAUGAAACUAAAUCCAACGGAUGUAACCUUUGACUUGUUUGAUUCAUUUUGGCAUGCAUAUAUACAUACCGAGCCCUGUACUUUAUAAUAGAGACACGCACACUUCAUUUGGCUGCUUUCUUCAAUCACUGCACAUACAACAAUAAUAGCCUGCGGCCUUUAAAGCCCGUGGCAGCUUUACACCAUAUCCACUUCACAGGACAUAUAAUACUUCACUCCAUCUCUGGGAUAUUUAGUGUUUUGACAAUGACAAGGUCCCAACAAAACAGAGCUCCAUAAUAUGUCUUCAUAAGCCUUACAGUAAUGGCUGUUCUCUACCUACAGAGCAAUAAUUCAUCUUCCAUGGUCGCCACUCGAAUAGCAUGGUUGGCUGUUGACGUUAAGUGAUUAGAUUAUUUAGCACGGUAUGCAGACAGAGACAAACAGAUACCGCAUGAAUGUGCAUGUGGGCUUUUAAGUCGACGUUCAAGUGGGGAGAAGAAAGAGACGAGGAAAUGAGUCAAGUCUUCUUUAUGCACGUGUGUGUGCUUGCGGGUGUGCAAAGGAGGAAGAGGAUAAGGGUGCUCUGCCUCAUCAGGGAGAGUCGGUUUAAUAUCCUCAUCGAUCCCAGCUCACCUCGUUACACAUUAACAUUUACGACUAGGAAACACGGUUCAGACACACAGAUGGAGACUCCCGGGUGAGAGGUAGACAGAAAGAUACAGGAGCGCUCUCUAGGAGAGGAGGGCAAAACACCAAUAACAAAUCCCACAGUGUGUAAACAAACCCGAGUAAUAAAGCCUACCGAGUGGCAUCGGUGGUCACCAUGAAUGCUUAAUAAGAAGCCCCAAUAAUUCCCUACGACAGAGAAGAAAGAUACUAAAAUCAUGAGGAUAAAAUAACCAGAUCCUUGCUGAGUCAAGCCGUAGAUGGUGGAAAGUUUAUACAUUAUUUCGAGGUGCUUUACUCUAUUUCUUCUUUAUAUUUACGCUACAUCUCAGCAGGAAAAAUACUUAAAAUAAUAUUCACAGUCAAUAUACAUCCAAAAGUGUACCAGCAACAAGCUGUUCAAUUACAGGAUAUUUUUGGUAGCUAUUAGUAUUAAUUAAAUGAUGAAUAAAAAACCGAGAGAAGUCAGUCAGUCAGUCAUCUUCUAUAUGCUCACCCUCAGAGGGUCGCAGGGGGGCUGGAGCUAAUGUGAGACGGGGUAAACCCUGGACUGGUCGCCAUUCAAUGGCAUUCACACACCUACGGGCCAUCUAGAGUCACCAACGAACCUGAAGCGGUGGGGAUUCCUCCCGGGGCGGCUCACAGUCUCUGCAGCACCGAACGUGACCUGAGAGGACACGGAGAACCCGCUGCUGCUCGCUGCUGAUCAGGUGGUCAACAUUUCAUCCUCUCAGAUCUUUCCUCCCCCUGUGGAGGCUGAACGUGUUGACCUCUGGACCCAACAUUUACUUUUCACAAGAGUCCCCUGUGUCGGGUUAGUACUUCCGCUCAGAGCCGUAGCACAAGUUUUGUGAAUUAUACGACAAGACUGUAAAGAUGGCGCCCGCCCACCGUAAUGCUAACGAGGGCCACGGUGCUCUGAAAGGUCGGCGACCUUGGGUUUCAAAGUUCAGUUUGUUUGAACCCUCGCUCACGUAUCAAGUGCUCCUCUUGGAGCUCACAAAAUAAGGGGCCCAUAAAACCGUGUCUUUGUAAAACACUAUUUAAAGCACUCCCAUGAGUUUUCUCAACAGCACUAGUUAUGUUAGUGCCAUUUACGUGCUUUGAUCGUUUGAAGAGAUCUUCAAAGCACAAAAGAAAACGCUGUCACAGGGUUGUAGAUCUGUAUUGUUGCUCCUGACAUUCACACUUAUACAAUAACCCUUUUUUAAUGUAUAUCCCAUGUACAUAUAUACUGUAGCGGUUCCUGUAUGACAGGAAUGGGACUGUGUACCUCUGUGUGUCAGAGGUUAUCCAAUCACACUGUUCAGGUCAAUGCACUCAGGGUUUUUACCAGGACAGCCUUACUUGGUCCGGUUGAACCAGUAUGUUUCAUAAUGAGAAUUUAUGGGGAACCGGUUUUUGGGCUCCAG